GACGAGUCUUCUUCUUGAUCUCGGGUCGAAUUAGGUGAGUGUCAGAAAGAGGAAUCAACGAUGGUUUCCUCCAUGAUGGUCUCCUCGGCUGCCACCUUCACCCGGGCUUCCCCGGCUCAAUCCAGCAUGGUGGCGCCGUUCACCGGCCUCAAGUCCGCCUCCGCCUUCCCUGUCACCAGGAAGCCCAACGCCGACCUCUCCCACCUCCCCAGCAAUGGCGGCCGAGUUCAGUGCAUGAAGGUACGCACGUACAAGGCUCGUGGCUCGAGUCGGAAACCUCUGUUACCGAGAUAGCCGUUACGAAUCAUAUACUGUGGAUGUAAUUCUUACGACAGGUGUGGCCGAUCGAGGGCAUGAAGAAGUUUGAGACCCUGUCCUACCUUCCGACACUGAAGGACGAGGAGUUGCUGAAGCAGAUCGAGUACCUUCUCCGCUCCAAAUGGAUUCCCUGCUUGGAGUUCUGCCCCGUAAGUAACUUCACCUGCCCCAUGGUGGGCAUCCGGUAACCUUGAUAUCCAGCAUGCAUACCGGGGAUUGAAGUCGAUCGUAAUGACCAUAACAGAAAGGGUUCGUGUGGCGCGAGAACCACCGGUCGCCGGGGUACUACGACGGGCGGUACUGGACCAUGUGGAAGCUGCCCAUGUUCGGGUGCACCGACGCUGUGCAGGUGGCGAAGGAGGUGGAGGAGUGCAAGAAGGAGUACCCCCACGCCUUCAUCCGCAUCAUCGGCUUCGACAACAACCGCCAGGUGCAGUGCAUCAGUUUCAUCGCCUACAAGCCGACCGGCUACUAGACGAUUCGGAUCCGGCUCUUCGGAUUUGCUUUCUUUGGUUCAGUGUUGGAUGUUUCCCCUUCUCUCGUUGUCUCCUCUACGCAACCGCCGACAGUGCAGCAGCGCACUGAGGCCGUCUAUGUUUUGUUUCCCCAAGAACGCGGAGCUUGUAUGUUAAGAAGUUUAUUAUGGACGUUCGCUUAUUUAUAAUAAAGGCUACCCAAUGUGUUUGAUUUUACCUGUAUCCGUCUGCUGUGGGUGGAAGAAUCCCGUACCGUAGUCGGCAGACGUGUGGUGUGGGGGUUGAAGCUUUGCUCUGGCCCAACCUAAUGUUAUCUGGGCUCUGUAUUGGGCCGAUCUCGGCCUACUUGGACGAUCAACCGCUGGGUCAACGGUCAAACACCGCGCGCAUGUCUUCUUCUUCUCCCUCCCCUACUAAUUUAAUGGAAAUAGAUAUAUGGACCCCCAAAAAAAAAAAAAAAAAAAUGUCAUCAUCUCGCAUCCGACGCACCAACAAACGCGCCGUGGCAAAAGCAGUACGAGAGGUUUCCUAUCGUCGUCGGUCGUGAAGAGUAGCAAAGUAGAUCGAGCCCAAGCGAGGAACGUCACGUGCGAGCAUAAUUCGUGUCGGCCCUUCGCUCGUGGUGGGGUACCGCCGCGGUGCCCGGUACCGUGUCGGAUGAUGUAUAUUAAUGAAGCCAACCGUGUGUGAUAUCUCAACUCAUGCUGUAAUCACCGUUUGAAUAGUUUGAUGAACGGUGUCCAUAUCCACAGCAUGCGUGACACAUUUGGUACCUACCCAUUAAAAUACAAUACCAUUCAGAGCACUCUCUCGAUUUAUUUUACUUUUUCUAUUAUUCUUCUUCUUCUUCUUCUUUUUUUCCUUUGGAUAAAUCCUCCUCCGACUCCCUUCUUCCCCAUUCCUAUCUCCUUCCCCUCUUCGGAUUCUCUCUCUCUCUCUCUCUCUCUCUCUCUAGUAGGGAGGCGGAUAAGGUACAUAAAAAUCCGGUCUUUGCCUCCUGCGCUUCUUUUUCUUCCCUUCUUCUUCGAUUCUGAGGGGUGAUCGGCUUCUUUUGUGGGAGAUCCCUCUCGUGGUGUCGCGCGCCGGUGGUUUUCCAAACAGAGUCGGGAUUUUUACUGGUUUUUGGAGUUUUCCUUCUUCUCGAAAUUUCGCACCCUCCUGCUUUUAUGGGAAACAGUGAAAUGUUCAAACUUGCCUGCAAAUACGUCCGAGUUUUCGUAGCUGCGGCGUUGUUUCUACCGGAUUCAAACGGAGAAAACCGCUUUUCUUGUUGGCUAAUUUAGUUGUCACGACAGGCGUUGCCAUCGUAAAGAUUGGGCGAACAUGAACCGCUGCGCGAUGCAACAGAACCCUUUCGCCGCCUACGAAGAGAUGAGGACCGCUUUCGCCGCCGCGGAAAGGAAGCCCCCUGUCUUCUGCCCGAAGCCCCGGCGGCUCAGCCCGCCCGCUGGCGUCGCCGAUCCGAUCUGGCCCCUCCGUUGGCACUCGAGGUUGACAUAUAUAACAACCCCUCCUCUGCUACGACACCGCAAAAGUUUCCCCUUUUCGUGUAUCUGAUUCCACCUCUCUCUGUCUCUCUCUUCUGCUCUUCUCAGUCGUCAAGCAGAUUUCUCCGAUUCGAACGCCGUGGCGGACCUUCUUGACAUCUUGCUCGCAAAGGUGAGAUUUUUUGUUGACGUUGUAAUAACAUGUGUAUUUGAUGUAGCUGAUACCGAAGAAAAUAGAUCUGGAAAACCUCUGUUAUUGACGUCUAUUAUCACGAUUUGUUCGCAGGAUGGUGAAGAACAGAACCGAGAGGCUUCUUCGCCGCCCUUCUUCUGCGGCUCGCCUCCAGACCGUGCGGCAAACCCGGUCGUCCAUGACGCCCGUUUCGGCGAGGACCGUCCGCCGCUGGCGCCGUUCGCCCCUGUGCAACCGACCCAGUCCGUCACGCCGAUGUCCCCCAAGCACGCCAAGUUCGGGCUCCUGCCGGCGGCCGUGCGGGUCGAGGGUUUUGAUUGCCUCGAUCGCGGCUGCAGCAGCAUCGCUGCUGUGGCCUGAACGCCCGCAUGCGCCUCCGAGCUUUCUUUUGGAGCGCGGUGAGAGGAAGAGUGAGAGGAAGGGAGAAUUGACAUCAACAAAUCAAAGAAACCAGCUGUAGGAGAAGAACAAGUUGGUAAUCUGGGAAUGCGUUUUGGCUCUCCAUGUAAACUGUACAUCUUACUAGUGGUGCACCAAUGUUGUGUACUAUUUGUGUGGGAGAAUUGUAUGUAGAUAUCAAAAUAAGGAAGAUAGAGAGUUAGGAGGAGGAGGAGAAGGAAAGCCAAGUUUUUUUGUGUUUUGUUUUGAUCCAUAUGGACGGUAAGAGGUUCUAUUUCAUCCUGUGCUGAAAUAUUCAUCAUCUUGUAUAGAACUCUUAGGAGGAAAUCCUCGAAUCAUGAAAUUGUGUAUCUAUUCAUCAUGUAUAAAAUUUUGUAUUCCUUUUCCUCUCUAUGUUUAUGGUGCCUCUUGGAGCUCUCGAGACGGUGGUGUUGCGAUUGAUGUGGCUGCCACCAGCGAAAAGAUGUUGCGCUUAGUGUUAAGAGCAUCGUUGGACGGAGAUGACUGGAGACGUGGCUUCGUGUUGGAAUAAUGUCAUCUUAUCAGAGCAGAUAUGGUCAAUAUCGUCGACUGAUACGAGAGGCGAUGGGUAAGGAGGAAGAGGUGGAGGAUAAGAAGGAAAUGGGGGCAGGAGGGCCCAGCAAAAGGGGUGUGAGGUCAUGUCUUCUCCACCGAGCUGUCUCUGUUCAAGUGGCGCUGUCGCGAAGAAAAAAAAUAACGAAGUCCAUGCCACCACCAUUCUUUGAAUUCUCCACAUGUGUUCGUCCGUGAUGACUGACUAAUUCAACAACGGAUGGAUCGACUCCGAGACGGACUAAAUGUUCUGUGCCUAACGAAGGAUGGACACAAGUGGAUAAUGCUUUGACAAAGGUGGCUAAUUGGCACGCGAUUUCCAGGGUCUUCUGUAUGCACAGAGUCAUGAGCUGUAAUAGGCCAAUGUCGUGAACUAUAUAAUAAAUACAUCGAUGGAAGUCAUGAGCAAGUGGGGAAAAGAAAAGCCUCGGCGAUUUCUUUCUACCCGUUGCCGUCCUGCUUUGCGUCCGACCGUCUCAUUCCAUCCCGCAUGAGAUACGGUGCUGUCGGAAGAGAUUCGGACUCGCAUUAGGUUCCGAUCUCUCCGAGCGUUCGUUCAGACACAUCGCCAGGGAAAAGAAAAAGAGUAGUAGAAUCCAUCCAACUUGUGCUUGCCAAAUAAGCAGAUAAGAGGAACGAAGGCUGGGUUCACAAGCAGUCAACGUGGCCACUUUCCACACCACGGCCUUCGUCCGCAGACCAUUCCUCAUCCCAUCCAAGUGAGUCCAAAAUCUCCACUGCUCACCUCAGGCGUGAAUGCAGAUAAAGAGGAAACAAAGCGGACGUGUCCUCUGCGGAACAUGUGGUCCGCCAUGCACGUAUCCCCUGUUACUCUUGGCCUCGGCGAGACGACGUGCCGAUCCAUGGGUGGAAGAGAGACGGAAGGAAUAGGAGAGAUCCCACGACGUGCAAUGUUUCAUCGCCCACCGUGCUGCACUCGCACAUGGUCUGCGGCUUCUCCCCGGCGCAUGGAAACCAAAUAUGGGAUCGGUGGGAGAAACAGGAUCGGAAACCUGUCUCCACGGUACCACUUUCCUUCCGGUACCCAACCGAUGAAGGGAUGCGUAGAGAUCGUAAUCGAAGCAUCUGACUGCAGGAACGCUUAGAGAAUUCACUCGUUGCAAGCACCAUAGCCUCGUCCUCGUACCAUGCCAUUCUCGAUGAAGGAAUCAGAAACUGGGCGAAGCGAAGGACAUGCCACGUAAAGCAGAAGAACAGGGCACAAAGAAAGGAUUCCGGUGGAGAAUAAAGAGGGAGGAGAGUCUGGUCCAUUGCUUUUGUCGACAGAUGGGUAUCGUUUGAGACCCACCUGGAUCGCUAUGGUGAUGAUAGAUAGAUAGAUAGAUUCUUGAUGUUUAUUCUCCCAUCAAAUCAGUAACAGGGAGGAGUGAAACGGAGCGAGAGAGAGGAGGGACAACACAUUUACGGAGAACCUACAUGUGUCGAGACAGGAAAACAAUGACAGGCUACAGGUGGGUUGCGUACACUCAAACCUUUGUCGCCGCAACUGGAUGCGAAUGGGAGCUGUCGGCGAAGCAAGCAAUCGGACCUGAGUUGGCUCACCGCAGAUGCCUAAUGAUUGACGCGGAAAAGGCCAAAUCGAAGAGAUUUGGUUUGCACGAUUGGGGUGUGCAGCCAACUCGGGUUGAGUCACCUGCUGCGGCGCCUUUGAUUAGCUCUUCCUCUGGUGGGGGUGGACGUGUCCACCUGUGGCCAUAAGACCCGCCGCGAGUGGUGGUCAAAACAAAGAAGGCCUUGGGAACGACGGAGGCCGACUUUAACGUGGCAAACGGCUGUGUGCCACCUUUACUGAUGUGCCCAAAUCUUUAACAAAAAUAAAUAUUCGUGGACCGCUGGGGUGCUGAGAGCAUCUGCUUUUUAUAAUACGAAAAGAAAAGCCUGUUCGUACGACAAUCUUACUCUGGCGGAGUGGCUGAAGGAACAUUCCUUUUUCUUCUUAUAUAUAUAAUUACUUUCUUCGUGUUCGUGAGCUCCAACUCAGAAACUUCCCUUCGUUCCUAUCUUUACACAUGUUUGCCUGAAUAGAUGCUUGGAGGUGCUGUCAACGUAAGAACGCUUGAAACUGAUAAAAGGAUGGGGCUCGAUGUCAAACAUCAUAAGAGAAAAACUAGGUCAUGUCGUCUAGGAUUAAUGUUCUUUACGAUUAAGCAUGCGAGUCCUUUCGAAAUCAUGAUCGAGAAAAGUCCAAAAGGAUAAGCUUAGCCAUCGUGUAUCAAUGAUUCUUUACGAUUAGGCAUGCGAGUCCUUUCGAAAUCAUGAUCGAGGAAAGUUCAAAAGGAUAAGCUUAGCCAUCGUGUAUCAAUGGUUGCUCUAAUUUAUGAUCACAUGAGGGGGGUUACCUUACAUGCGUGUCGACUCCAAGUGGUGGCUCACGAUUAGGGUGAGUCAUCGAUCUAAUGCUUGUGUCAUUGUUUUUCCUAUCAACACCUAUAGUUUUUUCUAAUAUCAUCAUAUUUUUAAUAUAUUUUAAAACACUAAUAUCUCCUGAUAAAAGUCUAAUAUACAAAAGAGUAAAAUUAUUUAUUUCAUUAAAUUUUCAUAAUAAAAUAGUAAAAAUGGAUGACAUCUUUGUUCAAAUUUUUAUCAUAAAAAAUUUUAGAUUCUGAUGCCACUUUUAUAUCCUACGAAGAGUUAGCAUUUUUUAUUUCUUCAUAAUAUUUUUAAUUUUUAUUAGACUGUGUUGAACAAGGAGGUGUUUCAUCCUCCUCUUCUAUUCAAUUAUUGAACACAACUAUUCUUUCCAUUAAAUUUUUAUAAUAAAAAUUAAAAUUUAAUCGAGCUAUUUUUUUAAAAAAAUAAAAAAAAAUAGAUGAGAAAAAGUAAUAGCGACCCCUCCAACCAACCCCUCAGCACACGACAACAUGAACAGACUAGUCUAAACGCAAAAGUAAUAUUGACCCGUUACACUAAUUUGCUUUUGGUGGGUUGUCCGUACGGACAUCGGUGGGUAUAAGGCACGCAGCCCAUGUGGGGGUCGACUGCAGAAAUAACUCCGUCCUCGGCGACGAAGCUGAAGCUGAAGCUGGCAAUUGUUUUCUCAGAAUCAGAAUAUUCAAUCGGCCACCAUAAAUCAAAUGAAUAGGAAGAACAAAAGAAGCACAGACCAGCGGUGGUGGGAAGGUGAAGGUCGUGAUCGUCGCCGUAAAUUUUAAUAGAAACGAGCGAAGAAAAGAAAAUAUUUCGAAAUUGGACAAACAAUGGCUCCUUAAUUUAUUAAGUAGCGACACGCCGGUGACUGUGCGGGAGCGGGAGGAGGAGGUGGAGGUGGAGCUCCGCACGACGGAUUCGCCUCCGACCGCCCCUCCCUCAUUAUUUCGUCUGUCGGUCACGCACGGCUGUGGUCCGCACCUCUCUCUCUCUCUCUCUCAGACACGUGACCCCCCGCUUAUCCGCUCCAAAGCCGCGACGCGAACCGGACGCGCUGCGUCUGCCACGUUGCUGCCGGCCCCUCGUAACGUAGCCACGUGUACUCUUUAGCCGGGUUCGACCCGGCUCGGGUAGCCAUGCCUUUCGAGCGACGACUCGGCCCGUCACGAGUCCUCACACCGCCCCACCCACGACGACGACGACGACAGAUAUAGAUACGUCGCCGAACCCAGUACGUUCCUGCCGUGUCGAAGACGUUUCGGUCCGUGACGCGCCCGUGGCGACCAACAUGCCUAGCGUUAAUAGCGACGGGUGUUACUCCUCUUUCGGCUUAAAAUCACCGGAGUAAACAGAUCCGGAUUCGACGCGUCGAGUUGAUGGCUGCGUGCAUUUAGGGGAAGGUCUGGUGCUCGCACCACGCCUCUUUGAUUCAUUCCAUGCAUGCUUUUGACGGACGCACGCGCCAAUGAACGUCGAGAUUCGCGACGGACAGAAUCGCUGAGUGGGUCCGCCGCGGGGCCUCCAUGUUUGGCCAUUAUUGAUUAUUAGAGGUGGGUAGGCGCGGGCAGCGAUUGGGUUUCCUCGUUUCCUUUUUUUUCUUAUUCCUUCCUUUCCGUGGGCGAUUUGGUUACCACCGCAUCACCCAUCGAGCUGACAAAGAAAGAUAUUGAUGCCCACCCUGAAUAGCCUUUUUCUUUUUUCUAAUCUUUCUUUGGCGCUGUUGAGGUCAAAUAAAAUUAUAUUAACAUCAUGAUCGUUCGUUUACCCGCGGAUGGUGGAUGAUGGCAUGGGAGUUAUCCUACCAAUAUGUUAGCGGCUACGAUUCCUAAUUUAAUCUUCCAAGUUAUCCUACCCCAACAGGAGGUCAAACUCGACAACGAGAGGGAGGAUAACGUCGAACGUUUCUCACCGUUCAAAUCCAGAGGAUAGAGAAGGGAGAAGAAUAAAAAAAACAAAAAAGGAAGAUGCGCCCAAAUCCAGCCGAGCCGAGAAGACCAAGCCAAACCACGUACCGCCUCAGCCACGCCGACGACGGGGUCACUGCCCCGGACGCCAGCUCCGGACUCCAAACCCGACCCAUACGUGUCCAAAUUACCUUUCCUUUUCCCUUCAUUAAAAUAAAAAAAAGCAAGACACACCCGUGAUGCGUGGGCCCCUCCCACCUUAUUUCCCCCCCACCCCGCCCCCCUUAUUAUUAUUAUUAUUAUUAUUAUUUUACUCGCUCUUCCAUCUGUUAUGGACUUUAUCACGCCACCCACCGUAUUUCUCGUGUCUCGCGAAACGUCCCCAGAAAAAGAAAAAAAGGAAAAUGAAUAGAAAUCCGCCCCUCCUCUUUCCCUCCCUAUAUAAACUCCCCCUCCACCGUGGACGAAACCAUUCACAUGCUUACUCACGCUUCCGUGCUCCUGUUUUGAGUUUUGACCUUCUUCCUACUCGGCCCCCUUAUCAUUUUCUUUCCCAGUUUGCCCAUCGACAACCUGAAAUGUCUUCUCCACCCCCAUACCUUCCUCCUGUAGAGGCCUCCGCCGAUCGGAAAAGACGCCGCGACGAGAUGGUGGAGAUAGAGGAGGAGGGGGAGUCGCCGGAGAUCUCCUCGCCCGAGGCCAAGCGCCUCCUCCUCGACAUCCUUGACGAUGACGCCGAUGCCGGAGACCAGGACCUCGCCUCCGUCAUGAAGAGCCUCGAGGAGGAGAUCGCCCUCCCCUCGCCGCCUCCGCAACCGCAGCUGCUCCCUCUGGCCGCGGUGGACCAGCCCGACCUAGGGUUCCUCUUCGAGGCCUCCGACGACGAGCUCGGCCUGCCGCCCCAGGCCGACGAGCGCUGCGAGGCACCCGAGCCGGAGGUCGCCGAGGAGAGCGCCGGGUUUGGCCAGAUCUGGGGGUUCGACGACGGCGACCUGUGCGGAUACGAAGGGUUCGAGUUCGGGAUCCGGCCGGAGGAGCGGGCGGAGGCGGACGACGGGGUGGUGUUCGACGGCGGGCUGUUUGAUUACGCCGACGUGGUGCCCUGCGGGCCGUCCGAUUUCGCGGAUCUAUCGUGGCGGCCGGAGACGCUCCCGGCCGUCUGAUGACAGUCCGGACGCUUUUGUUCUUCCUUCUUUAAACCCCCCCCCUUCUUCAACUUUUCUUUUGUUCUUUUCCUUCUCUUUUGAGGAGCGGUAGGCGGUCGUUGUAAAGCUUAGAAAAAAGAAGAUGAAGAAAGAAGACGCUUGUGAACGAGAAUCGAACGAACGGUUUCGCACGAUAUUUCGAAGAAGGAAAUCAAUCUUUCGUUUUCUAUUUCGACAGCGUCAUUUUAUCAUCCACCUUAUUCGACCUUUGGAUGGACAUCCGACGGUGCAGAAAUGGGGAUCCCAAUAAUCUCCUUGGAUGCUCCGCUCGUCGCUUCUUGAUGACCAAAACAGAAAACCUAACAGCAGAAUAAAAAGUCGAUUCAACCCAUGAAGCACCAGUCUUAUUCGUUCAUUAAAUAUUUCUAACAUUCCGUUGCGUAGUAACGAGUUAUGCCAUUAUUCAUAUCCCGUAUUAGCUAAGAAUUAUGCUCAAUAAAUUAUAUUAUAAAUUGAUUACGAAUGGUGUAUGACUUGGUUGUGUGUGGGACCUGAGUUUGGUGGCAAGCAGUUUCGGAAACGUGUCGGGCUCUGUACGAGGCCGGCGCAGCGAGUUCUGUGAUGGGCCUUCUUCGUCUGUCUUUGCAUCUUCGCAAAGAAUGUCUGUUUCCCUUCCUUGCACUUGCGUUCCUUGGGUUGAUUCCGGCCUCGACCUAGUUGCAUGGCGUGAUUGGCAGUGGAGGACAUUAGAAUUCCAUCCUACGAGGUCUGCUCUCUUUCCUUUGUUGCUUACAAUCGAUGAAGAAUGGAUCUUUACAUGCCGCGAUCAAGGCCGCCUGUUUUUAGAGCCUCUUUUGGUAGGUCGAAACCUAAUUUUUUUUGCAUCACCUAAAUUUAUGGCAUCACCUUAGUAUGACGACGUUGUGUUCGACGAUAUGCCUCUUUUGUUUUCAUUCAUAAUCUUAUGUUUUCAUUAAUCAAGUCUAGUUCUCAUUGGAUUUCCGGUGCGGUGCCACGCCCCUUUUUGCUGGUGAGUAAACACAACACAUUAUAAUUUUUCCGGUGGUAGGAGGUCUGCGGGUGAAGAAUUCAGAAAAACUGGGACAAAGGAGAUGGAUGAAGAGUCUACUUUGUGGAGUGGGAGCGAGGACCAUUAAUGCUACCUGAAUGAUCAUGGUGAUCCGUAUAUAAUAAACAUACAGUUUGAGCUUGAGGAGACAUCCAAAUAUCGACUGUUGAAGGCAGAAAAGUAGCACCAGGAGGUCUCUCAGGGAAGGCAAGCUACAAAGCUUGCUGCAGAAAAUGCACUGAAAAAUAUUUAAGAAAGUGUCGGACAGGAAUGUAUGGGAGGCGGCAAGUGAUCUAGAUAUCCGGAUUGGAGUUUUCGAAAACAUUGUUCCAGGACCAGGCUAUGCACAGCUUCGAGAGGAGGGUGGUCCUAAGAAGGGUAGACAUCCGAUUCUUCAAGGAUAGCACAGGCACAUAGAAGAGAAUCAGGAUUCGGAUUUUUCGGUUUGACAGAAAAUUUCAUUAGAUCGUGAAAGACCAUUUGUCUAUGAUUUAAUAUGCCAAGUUAGAGUCCUCUGAUGAAGUAGAUCAAUAUGAUGGUUGCUUGCAUCAUCCCAAGGAAAGAAAUUCUCUGGUCUAACCUGACCAAUUUAUCAUCCACCUGUUUCUCCUGCUACAUAUAUUCGAGCCCGUCGUCGAUGGAAAAGUGAAGAAUGAGUAUUUCUUGUUUGUGUCUGUUGUUUCUUCGAUCCAUCUAUCUCUCUCAUGUCUUUGUUACCACAUGCAUGCAAUCGAAUUAAGUUCACUGAGGAUUUAUAUUUUGAUUCCAGAGAAACUGUGUUCUCAUUUACGCUUCGUGCGUUCUUCCCAUCUUUGUUAUGUCUUUUGUCCCAUUAGUUAACACUCGUAACAUGUUGAUGUUCACCGGAAAACUCGUACAGGCGAGGGAUGGACCAUGGUACGUUGUCCUUUCUAGCUACUGCAAGUGGAUCAAGUGGUAAACUUGCAGCAAAUUUGAUCUGCAACUCGAGUUAUAAGGCCAAGGACUAUUGUAUGUUUGUUUUGAAUAGGUAUGUGUAUAAUAUUUCUGCCAUUGGACUUAGGAAGGAAGUUUCUUGCGAAAUGAUGCACCGACCUGCUCCCAUUUCUAAAAUAUGCCCCAUCUGCUUAGGCUUAGCGAGUUGCAACAUAAACAGUUUGGGUUGGGAAGGAGCUUUUCAUUGCAGUGUGUGGUAUGGAAUGUAUCUUGUUUCUUGUCUGCACCGAUCCAAGGAUGGAUCAUUCUGGCACGGUCAUCCUCUCAUAAUGGUUAGUUUCUUGAUCCUUGAUCAAGAAGAAAAAAACGAAAGCCAUGCUCCUUGAUCCCCCGGCCAAUCCCUGUUUCUCGAGGCUUUUGUUUUGUGAAUCCUCUCGCCCUUUCUCUCAUCAUAUCCCCCUCCUGUACGAAAAGCAAGUGACAAAUCUCCUUGUGCCACUAAAGCUGACUCCCAUUGUCUAAAGACUUGUUGCGGGGACAGUGUUUUCGCCGCACAGUGUCUCGUACGGUUCCAGCUUUUGUCCAUCGUUCCUCUGUCUUUUGGUCUCCCAUGCCGACAUUGGAGCACUGUUCCGUGAGCCUCACAUGGGUGUUGGUGCCGCACAGUGAAAGGCUGCUGACCUCCUCUGUCUGUGAGACUUAAGUUUGACCGUCGGAGAAAGGAAGACUCGACCAUCAACGGUGAUCAUUCUUUUGAGAUAUCUGUAUCUUGUCGUGCACUGCCAUUCUUUAUCCAUCUUUCGAGGACUCGGGCCCUGAACCCUGCAGCUGGUUGGUCAUCUUUAUAGAUACCACGGCAUCGGUGAUCUUAUUAUAUCUUAUGUUGCUGCCCCGGUGGUUAAUUGUCCAUAUAUUUGAACUCAUAAUUUCUUUAAUCUCUUCGUGAUGCAUUGCCCCCCUUGCACUCAUUUUAGAUUAUCUAUAACAGUGUGGCUCUCAGUUCUUACCUUGUGGAAUUGUACUUGUAUUGAUUGGGUAACGCAUAUUUGCCUAAAGGUUACAAGUAAAUUAUAUGAAUAAUUUAAUUGUGGACCAAAAUGAGGAUGGUAAUCAGUAGCAUCGAGGACGGUGGGAAGCACAAGAACAAGGGGACGAGAAGAUGCUCGACAACAGCUUGAGCUAACAUCAAGAAUGCUACCAGUUCGAAGCACCACCGACUAUAGGAAACCAUAGCAGCUACGAGGAAGGAAGAAGGGAAAGAGAGAGAGAGAGAGUCAACCCCCCCCCCCCCUUGUCUCCUGAAAACCUACCAUCUACAUGAUAAUACAAGCAUUAGCGUUCUCAUCACUGAAAAGAUGAGUGGCACAGAAGCCGUUGUCUACUUGGCUGCUGAGAUAGCGAGGGCUCGGGCAGUAGUUGUAGUAGCCAGUGUAGGAGGCGAUCUGAGGGGACCUGAGGUGCAUCAUCUGAGGCUGCACGCAUCUGCCGUCGUGCAUCGCCAUGCUGUGCCCUCUCGAGUUGUUCGCCAUGGAUGGUGGAUGGUUCGGGUACCCCUGCUUGUUCACCAGCAAUGCCGACUGGUAUUGUGCCCCACCAGCAUUUCGUGGCAAGCCUCCAUUGCUCCCAACGAGACCCAUCAUCACAUUAUUCGCCUGCGUCAUCCUUUGUCCCUUCCCUGCCUCAGGAUUGCCACUCGCCACCUUCUUGUCGUUGGCUGCAGCAUUGACGCCUUUUGGCUGUGACCCACUUGAGCUUUUCACGGUGUGCUCUGCCUCUCUGCUCUUCCAUCCGCUGCUGCCAUUUGUUGGCCUCGCGCUGGCUGGUGCAUUGUUUGCCUGCCUCGUUAAACUGAUUUGCAUCAUCUUAUGGUCGAGGAUUUGCAGAUCAUCGUCGUCUUCAUCUUCGUCGUCAUCAAUAUCAUCAUCAUCAUCAUCAUCAUAGUCUUCCUCGUCGGAGCUGGACGAGGGAAGCUUGUUGUGCUGGUGUUUGAAGGCUUUGAGGCCUCGCAGGAGGCCUUGUUUGCCUCGCCCUUCGAUCUUCGUGUUGGCUUCCUUCAUGGGAUUGGCAACUUGCUUCGGUGGUGGUGGUGGUGGUUUUUUUUGAUGGAUGGACUUCUGAAUCGGGGUAAGCUUUUGAGACCAAAGCUCCGCACGCUUACCUGCUCUGACCAGCUUCCUGAUGAGGGUUUCAGAGUCCACAUUCCCAGAAACUGUGACCUUCUGUUCUUCUAUAUCUAUGCUGACUGAGAAGACUCCUGAGUGAGAUGCACAGAACAAGAGGUGCAUGAUGAACAUCAAGUUUCUAGUCAAAUCAGGAGUUGUAUCUGCUGUCCAUGGAGGAUAUAACGAACGUUAGAUCAGGUACCUUCAAUUCUAUGGAGGAGCUUCGUAACUUUGUGCUUACAUCCAUCACAAUGUAUGUUCACCUUCAGGACGUGGGUCUGCAAGAACCAACCAAACAGUUUCGCUUCACUAACUCCUCUUCUCGCAAGAUACAAACGAAACAGAGAGGAGGAGAGGUACCUGGAUCUUGAGGAGCUUGAAGUCUUCGCCCUUGACCAUUUCAGCCGCAAUUCCUUCCUGCUGUCUGGGAGAUCACAAAGGAACAGGACGCAGUUCCUUGUCUGCAGGGAGAGAAGCUAAGCCUCGGCAUGCAAGACUCGUCUCCUCCACCAUCCCCUGCACUUCCCUCUAUAUACCUCGGGGCACCCAACAGGACACCACUUCUUUUGUCCACUGCUCGCACUAUGAUUGAUACAAACACGCACUCUCCCUUUUCUUUUCCUUUUUUUUUUUUUCUCUCUUUUUCUUUUUCUUUUUUUUGCUUUGAUAGAAGAGAGUAUGUAUGAUUAGGUCUGUCUGAGAACAUCGUCCAAUGUUCUGUGUGCGUUGGGAUCCUCCCCGCGCGUAGAUUUGGCGUCUGGAGAGCCAUCCAAUGGCUGAGACAAAGCAGCUAAGCGCUGAGGGGAGGAAACGAAGAAAGGAGAUCGAGGAGAGAAGCCAUGCAGCAGCGACCUGACCUGACCUGACAUCUGCAUUGCUUCCUGCAUGCAUAGCCCUGCACAGGCUCGUCUCUUUGCAUCUGGUGCCCAUUUUUAUCGUCUCCAUCUUCUUCUUUUCUUCUCCUCUCUACUCUCUCUUUCGCCUGUUCUGCUCCUGUGCCCGCCAUAAACCCAGAAACACAGCUUAACGUUUGACGAAACACCUCCAAAUCAAUCACGUAGGCUCCUGUCCGCUAAAAGCAUUCUCUUGGACGUUGUUAAGAACCAGCGUGGUUGUCCACCGCUGAAAGAAUGCGUAGGUUGUGGUAACAAGAACGAUGGGCCUCGGGCCAUCAUGCUCCGCUCACCUGUAACCAUAGGUUUGGUAUCAGUCCACGAGCUUUGAUGCAUUCUCUUAAAGUUAGGAGGCGGCAACGAGUUCAGCUGUUUGUGCUGUAGAAAGUAAUCUUAAUUUAGGGUGAAUUCAGAAGCAGAGUGGCCCGAAGACGACGACGACGACUCAUUACUUUGGAAGCUGAGUUAGAGCUCCAUGUCGGUAGGGGACACUUUGGACGUCAAAGUUGGGUCGCGUAUGGAUCCAAAUCCUUGACUUCUUCCUUCUUCCACCGGUACGCAUGCACUUGGAGGAAAAGCUGAUCACAUGGUCUGUGGCAGACAAACAAUUAGGUGAUCUACAAGUAAUCUUGGUAAUGACAGGAGAUUAGAUGCAGAGAUACAAAUGGUUGUCCACCUCAACCUCAUUGGAUAUUGCAUUUAUUAAGAGUCAAAUCUCACGAGACUCCAAAAGUUAGAGAAAAGAAGAAAUCAACAUCCGAGUUCAUCAUUAAUCACACACACACACACACACACACCAUCACAACAUGGUCAAAAGUUGUGACAAUUUGGUCAUCAUUCCUGGGCAACUCACUGACUUGUAUCUAUUAAUCUGACAAAGCUGGGAAAUUAGCUGGAACCAAUACGAAAUCUAGCCAUCUGUCUAAACCCACCACCGAGCGUGAUCCUCCGUGAUGACAACACAAAGCCGAAUGAAAUAGGGCGUGUUUGAGAUGAAAUGGCCGAAGCCAGUGGUGGCAAUCAUUAAAAAGCAACACGUUAAACGGAGAUCGUGGGUUUCAACGGCGGGCGGCAAUGGCGGUGGUGGGAACAUGAUGCCCGACGUGCCUUGCCAUCAUUUCCCUUUCUCACAAAGUAGUCGUGAAAUUUGCUUGAUAUAUUGGCCACAAAGAUCGACGAAGACAAAUUUGUCGAUAGGAUGAAACAACGGUGGUAGAGGAGGGAUACGGGUGGCCAAAAGAAAAGAAACAUGAGGGAGGGCCAGAACGGGAAAUAAACGCCCGAGUACUUCUGAUUCUCCUCCUCCUCCCUUCCUUCACUCCAACAGAUCCAAUCGCUCCCUUGUAAGCCUCCUCCUCCUUUCCUUCCACUGAUUGUUUUUCUUGUCGCCGUGCCUUUUUGGUUUACUUUGGUUCUACUUGGUCUGUUAAGGCAGGGAUAGGAGAGAGAGAGAGAGAGAGAGAGAGAGUAGGGGUUUCAGGGUCCAUAAGAAAGCUGCCACCUUUUUCUUCUCGGUGUAUUGAUUCCUCUGUUUCUGGUGGGUUUGUGAUUCCGUUCUUGGUUUUCUUUUAGCCUCAUUCAUCUCUCCUCCUCUCUACCCUUCUCUGAAUUAUGGAUUUGUUUGCUCUCUUUCAUCUUCGUUUUCUCUUUGUCGUUUCGGAUCCAUGAAAGAUCGCUCCUUUUUCAGUGUUUCGUUUGGAAUUUCCAAUAAUACUUUGGUUCUCGUGUUUUGGUUGCUGUUCUUCUUGUGACCGAUUGAAUUUUGAUGAAUCUUUCCCGUCUCAGUUUUCUCUGUUCGUGGGAUUUCGAAUACCUUGUAGUUUGAGGAAACCGACAUCUUUCUUGUGCUUCUCUGCUGCAACCCUGUUGGUCUUGGUCUCUACACGAUGAUGUUAUUCUUACACUUACUUUUUACUGUCCUGAUAGAUUGUUGGAUUACUAUCCUCCGUUUUUGGUUCUGCGUCUCAGUGUCCUGCUCUACGUUGCAAAGAUAACUUCUUCCGUCAUGUGGGGAUUGUUCAUGAUUUUAUUAACAUCUUUCCUUUGACUCUGACGUAUGGUUACAUUGGCUUCUUUGUUACAUUGUUCUCCUCUUUUCGUUCAAAGUUCCAGAAGAAUGGGAGACCAUCUUGCUUUGUUAGUGGACCACCUGCUCACCGAGUCAACGCUUGAAGCGGCUAUUGGUAGUCGGAAGCAUGGCCAGAUUGUCGCCAAUUCGGCAUCUUUGGAGGACCCGGCCAAAGAAUUCACUCGGAAGAGUCACGUCAGAGGAAGGACAUCCGUGGGAAAGUUGGUCGAGUGCCGAAUUUGUCAAGAAGAAGAUGAAGACUGCAACAUGGAGAUCCCUUGUUCAUGUUGUGGCAGCUUGAAGGUAAAUCAAGCUUCUAUGUAACAUAUGUAACUUGCCUUUGUAUUGCCUAUUACUGUAAGGUCAAUUUUUUGUUGCAGAAUAUGGCUUGUUCUUGAAGAUUUCAUUUUUGUGAUAACACGUAUUACUAUAAGUUCAAAUUUUGUUGCAGAAUAUGGCUCGUUCUUGAAGAUUUCAUUUUUGUGAUAACAUGGAAAUCAUGCAUACAUCUGCUUCGGUCAUGCAGUUAUUUUGUAUUCUGAUUUGUAGCAAAAAGGUUCAUCAGUUCUAGCCUGCAAACUGAAUUUCCUGUAUGAUAGUGUGUAUGUUUGAGCUACAAUUUGUUAUUUUCUAUUAAUGUAUGAAAUAGUUUGGUUAUUUUCCUGUAUGAUAGUGUGUAUGUUUGAACUACCGAGUGGUAAUCUAGAAGUUAAAAAUUGCAAUUUAAUUAAGGAUUCAAACAGUGAUCAAUGUUCAUUUGUAAUUCAUUUGCAACACAUUACUUUUGCUCAGUAUCUGUUUGGCAGAAGUCUGCCCGAGAUAUGUUCCUCUUGUGUUUUAGAAUUACCUUUAAUCCAGUGAAGCUUCAGUCUGUGAGAUUUAUAUCAUUUGAAAGUCAAAGUAAGUCCGGUUAUUUAUUGACCCGGUGACAGGAAUAUAUCAUACAAAAGAAGGAACUGGUCUCUCUCAUCUCAUUUGUACGUCUGUCACCUUUGUUCAACGUUACUAGUAAAUUGUCAUCCAACAAGUUCAUUGAUCUUUGUGUUCUAGAAGUAUACAGUUAAUGCGUUCACAUAUUUCUUGUUAUGUGUUUUCUUUCGUAGUCUAGUUUACAUCCCAGGAAAAUAAGAAAAAUUCACCUUAGCUCUUUCUUCUUGCAGUAUGCUCAUCGUAAGUGUGUUCAAAGAUGGUGUAACGAGAAGGGCGACACAGUGUGUGAGAUUUGCCUGCAGGUGAUGUUUUUUUUUUCUGGCCUCGUAGUUUUCUUGAUCUCAACAUUCUGUAGUCACCAUGGUGAAAGCUUGAGCAACACGUACUGAUAUUGAAAGUGUCAAUUGAGGCUUUCUCAUCAAGCAAUUAUCUCUUUCAGAUUACAUGCUGGUCAUUUCAUCUGCACAUUUACUUUGAUGUAGCAUUUGGAUCACGAUAGUUUAUUUCUUGUGAUAUUGCUGCUAUAGCUCCUAAUUCUUGUCACUCAUUCAGCAAUUUAAGCCAGGUUAUACUGCCCCUCCAAAGUUGUUUCAGUAUGGGAGUAUUCCUAUGAACUUCAGGUAUCCUUUAUUCGUCUCGUUACGUUUUUAGGCAUCUGUGGCAAUUCAGAGUUGCAUCAUUUACACAAGGAAUCACUGAUUGUGUCAUAAUAUUUCUCAGAGGCAAUUGGGAGAUUACCAGACAGGAUCAGCAUGAUUCUCAGAUCAUAGCACUGGUUCCAUCUGAACAUGAUAUCGUGCACCCUGAUGACGAUGAUUAUUCAGCUUUAGGCAUGAGAAACACAGUUUGUCGUCAGUCAAUUGUGAUAAUAGUGAGUUUAUUUUGAUUCGAUAAGCACGAUAGUGGAGUGACUUGUGAGUCGCAUUUUGCCUUAUUAUGCUUUGUGUUUUGACGUAAGUGAUUCGCUUUUGUUUUUUCCAGUUCACGGUUCUUUUGGUUCUUCCCCACACUCUUCCUCUUAUGAUCGGUGUAGCUGAGCAGUAUUCAUUCACUCUGUUCUCAGUAAAAAUCUAAUCCUAAGAAAUUAAUAAUUUUCUUUCGACAUACUAUUAUUCGCUUCUGAAGUUCCGUAUGAUGUAGCCCAUUUUUAUUUGUACGUUUCUGUAUAAAAGCUACUGGUGUUGCGGACUGCUGGAAUACUUUUGCCGAUCUUUGUAAUGGUCAGAACAAUAAGGACAUUUCACCAGUUCCGCUGCCGACGGGUAAUUUUCUUUUUUCUUCUUCCCAUAGCGGCUGUAGAAACUCAAAUCUUUUUUCCAUGGUUUCUUAAGAAAAAGAAUCUUGAAACGUUUUGGAACAUGUUGCAGGUAACUCGUGAAAUAUCUGAUCCAGCUGAAGGAGAGAACAUGAUCGAACCUUGGCGGCUGGUGCGGUCUCAACCACAUCACAUUCAGAUGCACUGACUGAUACAAAGGAGCGAUGAUUAGCAGCGCGAGUGACUAAUCCCACUGUUUCUUGGUGAUGCAAGAUCAGGUCAAACAAUGGAAGAUGAGAAGAGGAAAAAUGACUGGGAACAUGGCAUGGUUAUGCAGUCUGCUGCUCUGUACAUAACAUGGUAGUGAUAGGUUUCCCUUCGGAAUGCUUGAAAACGGUAGCCAUAGUUGGAUCCCUCUAUAGAAAGCCACUCGCUUCAGAAAGCUUGAAGAUGAAGUGGCUGAAUUGAGAGUAGUGAUAUGGAUGGCAUGGUGUAAAGUCGAACUCAUUUGGCAGUCAAAAGAAGAUUCAAGUUUGACUUUAAAUGCCAAUGUUAGAACAGCUUGGAUUUUCUUUUUACUUUUAUUUAUUUAUUGGAUUUACUUGAAUAAGCAUAAUUAUGGGUCAAACCAUAUGUCCUCCCUUGUGGUUGAUUCAAAUAAGGUGAUGAAGAAGGAGUUACUACAUUCACGUCGUCCUUGAAUUGCAUAAGAACAUUUCUUGCACUGGUUGCUAGUGACGAAGUGCUCACCGUCAACAUCUUCAUAUUGAAUCUGAAGCCGACAGAAAUUAACAAUAGAUCAAGAAAUGUCACUAAAUCUGUGCAGGAAAAAAGACCUCCAUUGAGUUCUUCCUGAUGCCACCCACCCCUCGUCAGCCUCGUGGAACUUCUUUUAUGGUGUCCAAUGCCGGCGUCCACGACGACUGCCUCGGCCUCUCCUCUUGAUGCACCGGGUGGCUUCAUUCGCUUUCUUGGCCUGUGCGGGGAGCAAGCAGAGGUCACCGCGGACGGGAAGAAUCCUGUUGGAGAAUCUUGCCUUAGAGGCCCUGCACGAAAGAGCUGCCAUCUCCUCCUCGGUAAGCACCGAGAAGAGCAUGUCCAUCGGCAGCAGGAAGUAGAGCCGGCGUCGCUCGAGUUCCUCGUCCGCCGCCAAACCUGGAAUCCGACACCCCACGUCGAGAUGGUCAGAGUCGCACACGAACUACCCAGGGUUGUCAACCAUCAACUCCGCCGCUCUCACAGAACGCACGUACUCUACGACGCCAUUGACGACCCUUAUGGAUCCACCCGAGGCAGCGUAAGGUGUGCAUGCAGUGUUUCCCAUGAAAUCACACUCCAAUCUCCCAGCAACUAGAACAUCACAAGGGACACAAACAGAGAACGAGAGAGAGAGAGAGGAAGAGAAGGAAUGGCAAUGUGUGGAAUGUGCGUUGGGCAUUGGGGGUAUCAAGGGAAGCACAUGGGCCAGAAGAUACAGCAUCAGAUCAUGCAUGGAACCUGACAAAUCAAUGGAGGAAGCACAGAGAUGCAGAGAAGCAGAAUCAAGUGGAUGCCAAAAUGUUCAGUAUGCUUGUCCGACACCUCACACCUUACACCGCUAAAAGUUGGCAUAACAAAUCAUUGGAGAACAUGACAUGAAAACUAGACUGCUUAGAACACCUUUAACCAGACAGAGAUGGCAACAAAAGCCAAACAAUUAUAAUCAAAUUGUUGUUGAUAUGCAUAAUCUCAUCAGAGGCCAAGCUGUCUGAAGACUUAAAUCAUGGAGACCCAGCUAUCAUCUUUAUGGAAUCCUUACCUAAUUGGUGGACCAGUGUUUCACCAAAGUAGCCAACAAAACGCUAUUGCUUGAUCCAUUCUCACUUCAUCUUGAAGAGGUUUUGGGGCGCUUCAAAUGUAUCCUGUUGCUUCACAAACCUGAUCAUAUAGGCACAUCAUCGACAAAAGGCAGUGGUUAAUCUUGUUUUCUAAGCUUAGAUUCACAUUAUUUCCAUCAGUUUGUUGUUAUGCUAAUCGAAUAAAGAACCAAGCAAUAGUGUGGGAAUAAUUUACUGGACAAGUUAAUCGAAAGAAAAAUAGUGGAAGUUAAAAGCUUAGAAACUGCAUUGUCUCUUCAAAUAAACAAUUUACUGCAUUCCUUUAAUUGAAUACUGAGAGAGUAUACAUCAGUGCUCCUUGUUUUUUUAGUACAGGCAACUUAUAUGAACUUCCAAAAGUAUACAAGACUGAUGACCUGUUGUACUGGCCAUCAGAGUGUGAUUUAAUAAUGUAAUAAUAAGGUUGUCAAAAUUUGGUAAAUUAUUCACCAUUAUUCUGCUCCAAGCUCAAUCAGAUGAUCACACAGCAUCUGAGAACAAAAGAAUCGUAUUGGUGUUUCGCUAAUACUAAUAGAAGAGCAUUGUGAGCCUUCCCCUCCUCCAUGGUUAGAAAUUCGUCAAGAUUUUGUCUUUUGACACACCUUCAGCCACAAGCUUAGCUGUAAUGACCUGCCACAUAAAACCUAGUGUCAGUUAACUAGCAUUCUGGAGCCAUAAAUUUGUGAUCCUCAUGUAGAUUCAAAAAGUAUAAUCAACAUUAAUAGUAAUAAUCUUGUUGAAACAUGAAAACCUCUUCUCCCUGGGAAAAAAUCACAGUAGUUGCAACAUUCAUCCUAAGUGAUAUUCAAUUCAUAACUGAUAAUAAGAUUCAUCUACAACACCAGUGACAUAUUAUCCAGACAUGCAAAGUCACCCAUAAAUAAGUUGAUGAUAAUAAGAUGAUAAAUCCUUUCUCUUUCAGAAGAAAUAAGCUGAUAUAACUUAAGAUGAUUAAAUAAGUACAUAUUUUUUCAUCAGAUAAAGUGAUCUUUCCAUUAGUCUCGUGUUCUCAAUAGAAGGCCAUCUUGAAAUAACAUCAGAUAUUGAUUGGUGGGGAAUUCAAGCCAAGUUAUUAAGUCACACUUCCAGCACUAACUUAAUCGUGCUAUGACUUCUACAAGCUUCCAAAAAUCAAUAAAAGAGAGGCUCAGUGAAUCAAUAUGGGUUUCGGAGAGUCCAUGUACACCCAUCCAAACAGAGUGAUUGCAUUGCAGCUACUCAGACUAUUUAUCAAUGACUAUUAAGAUUUCAGAAAACUGUACCUCAGUCAUCUGUUUGUGCCCACAAAGCACCGCACCAGUUGUUGAAGGAUUUAGAAUAUGUCUGGCUCUUAAAAAAGCUGUCUGCAAAAUGUCAGAGAAUAAAUUUGAUUAUUUACAGGAAGUUCAACAACAUAAAGUUGGUUGUUUAUAGAUUCAAUGAGCUACCUGUACAUAUCCUCUUUCGCCACUCCAUCUUUCAUCAGGUUGUGACAAGACAGGUAUGACAUUUACUCCAGCAUACUCCCAAUCCUUGAACCUUUCCUAUAAACAAGCAACAAAAGGUUUUGUAUUUGAUUUCUUGAUUCAGAUGAACACACAUCUUGCUUGUUAGAUGCUAGCUAUAUGUUUAAUAGUGUAUAUAAUCUUAGACCUGAUAUGCCAUUUUCUGAAGAUUUCUAGCUCCAUAAUAAAGUCUCACAUCUGAUCUUUCAUUUGCACGGACACCUAAUUCAAUAAGUGACCGAAUGGGACUGCCAGAAAGAGUUCAUAGAGCAAAGUAUUAACAAUGGAAAAAAGCUAGUUAACUAGUGACAAAAUUGUUGCAUACAAUUGUAAAAAUCUACAAAAAUAUUUACUACAAAUUGGAAGACAAAAGACACGUAUCAAUAAUUUUUUAAUGCAAUCAAAACAUUCUAUCACACUCAUCUGCAAGUUAAGCAAGUUAACACUAAAUUAGUAUUUGAAAACAUAACAUCAACUUAUUUAGAAGAACAAUGUAUCAGUACCGUUAAGAAAGUAUGAUAGGAAGAACUUGAAGAUGCAUUCCAAAGAUAGAAUUGUCAUUGGCAAACAAAUCUCAGUUUUGGGGGACCGAUAGAAUGAUGCGUACAAAAGAUAGGAUGGUCAGUAUCAAGCAAAGACCAGUUUUAGGAACUAUCUGAAUAUGCAGUAGUAGCCUAUUUUCCCAAUUAUUAUGCUACAACCAGUAACCUACCAUCCAGCUUUUCCUAAAAAGUUUGGUUCUAUUACAGGUUUCUACAUUAUCAGAAAAAUGUUAAACAAAUCCUCUCAAUUAAUAUACUAACUGAAAGAAGUAUGUUAUACUCUACUUCUCUGAAUUAUUCUUCCUAUAAUCUCAAAAGAAGUAUAUGUGCCUUUGCUCCAAAGGUGUACAGGCCUUAUGGAAGCUAAACAAUACUAUCAAAGGAACAAACAAAAACCAGAUUGAAAUAAGAGACUUCAUAUUGAUAUCAUCCAUCACACGUAGAAGUAAAUGAUCAACCACUCCAUUAUCAAGUCCAUGAACGGAUCUCGGAUGCCCAAAUUUCCAACCCAAUCGCAAAUAAAUAUGAAAUGAAGGAAACAAACAGAUAGGAAGUAAGAAGAUAAACGGAGAACAAUGUGAAGUUACAAGAAUCUUUUUCUCUCUGCAAAUAAUUCUGAAGAGAAAGAAUAAUAUCUUUAAAAAUCACAGUACAAAUAUGAGAGUAGUCACUCAUGCGACCCCUCCAACCUCUCUCCGCUUGCCAGUCUUUAAGGAAACAAGUCAAAUCAAUUUGGGCACAGAGGUGACUAACAAAGACCAAAUUAGAGCUGAAUUUAAUAUAUUCUUUUAAAUUAUCAAAUGACAAAAAUUAUAACAUUCCCCACUACUUUUCAAAUUUUCACAACAACUAAGGAAAUUUUGAUUUUGAUGGGUGCCUUUUGGGUUUGGUCCACACUCAGUAGUGAUUUUACUGGACUGAGGAUCCAUUAUGGAAUAGGUUCUGAACCACGUCCUUUACCAAUCAUCUAAAACCAUACAUAUACAGCGAGUAAAAUUGAUGGAGCAUAUUACCACCUCUUUGGAUUUCCACUUAGCUUGAUUCUUAUAGGAGCUUCAACCUCAUAAUCAUAAUCCCAUAACUAUCCUCAUUUAGGUGAAUCCUCAAGAAGUAUACUUGACCGAGAUACACUUCUUAGUCCACAUGUCCUCAAAUCUCUCACCACUUGCUAAUUUAUAGGAAACCAAUCGAAGAAACUUGGGUCCACACUUGACUAGAAAAUACCAAUACAAAGCUAAAUUAAAUAGUUUUCCAAGUUAAGUAAGAACUUCAAAGUAACAAAAAUAUUAACAAAAUCAACAUCAAUAAUGAUGUAAAAAUGCUUAAAAUAAUUGGUUAGUAGAAAAUCCCGGAAGCAUGACAUCUAAUAUAUAUAUCUUGAUUGGCGUAAGCCUUGUGCACUGGGCUGCCCCUUUUUAUACCAUCUAAGAUAUAAAGAGCAAAUUUUGGACCAUCAUAAGUCUUCUAUCCUACUUUGAUUGUCUCCGCUUAUAGUUGUAGGGGUAAGAACACCUUGCAUAGGAAGUGCCUCAUGCAUUAGGCUAUCUUCUUACUUGUUCCAUCUAAAAUAUAGUUAAGAGGGUAAAUUAUAUCCCAUCUAUAAAGUCUUUAAACUAGUCAUCCAUCACAACUCAGUUGGAACUAGUUCGAUCACCCAAAUUAACAUAAUGAUUUACAAUUAAUCUUUUCUUUGUUCUCAUGGAUAUUUAUGCUAUCAAUUUCGUGAUACAAUAACCUCCAACAGGUACUCAAGAAUCAUUGUCUACAAUAUAAAAAGAUAUUGUACCUUAUGCACGAGGCUCUCAUUAAUGUGGUAUCUAGGGAGGGUCAAUGUACAUUCAAAUAUUUAAAGAGAUUAUUUUCGUGACUCGAAUCUUGGUCUCCCAGAGAACCUUACCAUUGUACCGAGGCCCGCCCUCGACCUCAAUCGUUGUCUAUGAUCUCAAAUCACCAAAUCUAUUGACCAUCAUUGAUCUCAGAAUGAUGACCACUAACAUAAUAAUAGAGUUUCAAAUAUUUGAGGUUUCAUGGUUUUGAAGAUAUAUUAACAAUGAAGCUCUAGUGGGCAAGUGUUUUCCCCUUUUAAGAGAUGUCUCUAAAAGCAACUAAAGUUCACCACAAAAUAAAUAAGAAAAACAUACGGAACAAAAUAAUCUGCAAUAUAAUGGAUGGAACUAAACACGAUUAUUAAGCUCAGAUCAUGUUUGAUUGAGCACACAAUUGACAGUUUUCAUCCUAUUCAAUGAACAACGGUCAGUUUGAACGCCACAAAUUGAGACACGAAAACGUACAUAGGCUUCAGUAAGAAAGAUUAAUGAAUGUUCAUCCUCAACGAACUGGAAAAAAAAUUCACUGAGAAGCGUAUGCAAUGAAUUUUAAUCCACAAAAUUCAUAUUUUUUCGCUUAACAAGACUGCAAAAUUGCAUAAAACAAGAAGAAUUCAGAAAUAUUAGAAAUUGGAAUUACCAAAGGGAACAGAGUCCCACCUGAUACCAGAUCCCGUUGCAAAGAUAAAGACGGAGGGGAAGGCAUCGGGAGGAGAGAUCUCCUCCACCCGGAAUCCCCUCCCCAUAAUGCCACUCAGCUCGACGAUAUCCCCGCGUCUGAGCCCACAGAGAAGAUCGACAGUGGAGCCAGGGACCCUCUUGACGAGGAAUUGGAAUUCGCAACGGGAGGCGGCGAAGGAGGGGGGGGAGGCGAUGGCGAGGAAGGCGGGCUUGUCGGCACCCGGUACCCGGAGCUGGAGGUACUGACCCGGGGCGGUGUAGGAUACGGCGAGAUCGGGGGCGUAGGAGACGUCGACGGCGACGUGAAAGAGGGAGGCGUCGGCGGAUGCGGGGGCGACGAGGGAGAGGGGCGCCUGGGACCACGUGUCCGUGUCCUGCUGAACGGCGGCUGCGAGGGCGGUGAGAGCGCGGCGGCGGAGGGGGGCGGGGAGGCGGAGGCGAGAGAGGGGAGACAUGUAGCGGUGGCGAGGGACGAGAGGGUGAGCGUCGAAGCCUUUCGGGUCAGGUACAAAGAGAGACGGGAAGGAGUUGGUCGCCGCGGCCGCCUCCUAAUUUUAUUUUUAUUUUUUUUAAUAUCAUUUUCAAACCCAUCGAAUGUAAAGUCCAUUAGAUCGAAUCGAUCUAAAUUUAAACCCAUCAAAAUAAAUAAUAUUAAUAUAUUUUCUAUUUUUAUAUUUAAAUAUUUUUUAUUUUUAUUAUAAAAAUUAUUAUUAUUAUUUUCUGUAAUUUCAUAAAAUAAAUAUAUUUAUUUUCUUUUUGGUCCCCUCCACUGAGUGUUUCAGGCCCCGCCGGCGGAGCAUAACGUGUGUUCGUCCCCGACUCCGUUCGACUCUAAGCCGCCCCGUCGUGGGUUCACGGACGGCCGAGACGUGACCUUUUUAUCUCUCCUCCAAAAUCUUUAAAUAAAAUAAUCAUCAUUAUUUUAAAUAUAAAUUAUGUAAUUUAUUUUUGUAUAUCUUUAAAUCGAACCGCAUGAUUCUUCUUCCAUCAUGAGCGAGAAAGACAACCAAAAAAUCCUCCCAGCAACUAAUAAUAUGAAAUGAUGCUUCAAAAAUAAUAAUAAGUCCAUUAGUGGAAUCGGGCCGAACGAGGCCCAAAAACUAUAUUACUUGAACACUAUAUCCAUAGUUUCUCUUCUCCUACUACUACUCCAUAACGAUAUCCAUUUCCAUUCUCGACCACAUCACACACCUCUCUCUCUCUCUCUCUCUCUCUCUCUCUCCCUCCGCCGGUCUGCCUUCUUUCUUUUCCUCCGCUUUUGCUAAAGAAUGCAAACGCAAGCACGAACGCGAGCGGCUCUGAGAUUCCAAGCCUUCCCCUCCUUCGCUAACCGGGCUCCCCUUCCCUUCGUAAUCUCCUUUCCCCCUACCCGACGGCGCGUUCGAGUCCGAUGUAGUGCCGCCUCCGACGGUGGUUCCAUCGGCGGGAAUCCUCAGCAGCAGGUGCAGCAGAGGAAGGCGUACCCUUUCGAUGCGAUAGAGCCACGAUGGCAGCGCUACUGGGAGGAGAACCGAACGUUUCGGACGCCUGAUGAGGUUGACACUUCGAAGCCCAAAUGCUACAUCCUCGACAUGUUCCCUUACCCUAGGUAACAUCUCUUGUUCAGAUAACCCGUUAGUUUUCUUGGAUUAAAAUAUGAUUUGAAUGGGUUUCGUUAGCUCUUCAUACGAGAGAGAGAGAGAGAGAGAGAGAGAGAGAAUUAUGGUUCUCGAAGAAACAGCAAGGUUGUCUGCUCCAAUUUGCCUGCUUAUUCUUCUUCUAGGGACUUCGUUCGCUUCCUUUAUGCCCACACAACUAGGAUCUCCUUUCCAGACGUCCAAUCCAGAAAUUUUUCGUUAGCUCUUGAUAGGGAAGGUUACAGAUAUGGUUUCUUGAUAACCAUUCUAGUUACUAGAAUGAAAACUGAACCUGAGGUUUGAGCCUUGGUUGGUAGUGACACCAUCAGCUUUACUGGGUUUGUCAAUCUUUAGGCCAAACCACUCAAAAAUAUUAAGUAUCAACUCUAUUAGACAAGUUCAUUAUGGAUAUAUCGGUACCAACUCUAUUAGACAGGUGCAUUAUGGAUAUAUCCAUAAUGACAGGUUCAUUAUGAAUGUAUUGGUACCAACUCUAUUAGAAAUAUGUGGAAGCAAUGGACCAGAAACCCACCUAUAUAUAGUGAUUCUAGCCUUCUAGGUGUGAAUUAGUGAUGAUACAUCUGUGGGUAUUUGGAUGAAGUCAUACAAUUAGUUUAUAUAGACAUUAAAGUGUAAAUACUAUCCUAGCUUUUGACUCUUUAAUGGCUGCCUGCCUUAUGCAAAACUCCUGUCGUCUAAUCCUUUUGCCAUGUUUUCCUUAGAUUUUCCAUGUACAGUAGAAUUUUUUGUUUGUACUUGUGAAUUCAUCUUUUAUGAUCUUUAAGGUGUUAUCUGUGUAAUUAUCCAUAUAUUUUUGUAGUGGAGCUGGAUUACAUGUUGGUCAUCCCCUUGGAUAUACUGCCACCGACAUACUUUCAAGAUAUAAACGAAUGAAGGGCUUCAAUGUUUUGCAUCCAAUGGGCUGGGAUGCGUUCGGUCUUCCUGCUGAACAAUAUGCCAUUGAGGUUUGUUUUCGUGCCAUUAUUCCAUGAGAAAGUUUCUCUUGUAUCUUACUCUUAUUAGUCAAUACUUUUUUGCACAGACUGGGACACAUCCGAAGGUUACAACCAAACGAAAUAUUGAACGAUUUCGGUCUCAGGUACCGAUGCCACAUUCAUUUCUACUAGCAAUUGAGUUGAUUACAAAAAGUGUGAAUCUUCUUACAUAUGCACUUCUAGAGCAAACAAAUUGACUUCCUUUUCGUUGCAAAUACAAAGUCAAAGUAGGCAAGGUGGAUGUUGUUCAUCAUUUUAUCUUAGAAUUCUUAAUCGGCCAGCUCUAUGUCAUCUGCCAUAAGUCAAGAAACAUAAAUAGGCAACACAAAGUCUAAUUGAGUGUAACUAUCUUAUUUAAGUGAAUUUUGUAAAAUCAUGAAGUUUCUAAUCUGCUCAAUAAUGGUUUUACACAAUCUGUAAGAAUUUUGUGGAAGGAAGAAAUGCCAAAAUUGACCUUGGUAUGCAUAUGCAUUAUUGACACAAGUCACACAACUCAGCAGGCAUGUGCUAAUACUUUUUGGUCACAACAUUUGUCAACCCAUGCUGAUCAAAUGGAAAUUUUUGAUCUCUUGCCUAUGCUCUGCUCAUCUUUCAGGGACAUGCCUAUCGCCUACAAAAAGUCACUUCAUUGGUUCAAAUACUACAGUGUCAAAACAUACAUCUCGUGCAAAUUGUAGAUACUAGAAUUGCUAACUCUUUUAGUUAAUGAACUAAGAAUAAGUGAAGACAAAAACAGAGGUUGUCUAACAUGUCUAUUUUCUAACUUGAUUGACAUUCUUGUUUGUCUUCACUCAAAUGAAUUGAACUCAAAGCUUCAUUUUGUGACUCUUCAGUGGCCUUGUAGAUGUCUAGUUAUGAAUCUAGGUUUUCAAGUCUUAUACUUAUAUGGAAUGAUUUUUUUUUUGCAAUAUUAGAUUAAUUGGAAUAUUGGAUAUUGCUAGUCUUCAAACAGUUUUGAUUAAUGCUGCAGUCUAUAAGUUAAAGUAUGGUGUAAUUGCAGACAAGAGCACUAAUUCCCACUAAUAAAAGAAAAAUAGCAUCACUUAUGGUAUACUAUGCCACACAGCAGUUUAUUUCCAUGAUCUUUAUAAAACUGUCAAUCUAUCAUUUCCAUCUGAUGAUGACAUGUGGUUAUAUUUUGUAAGUUUCCAUUUGAGUAACUUACUGAGGAAAUUUUGGUUUUCUGAUCUUAUCCAAAGAAAAUUCCAUUUGAAAGUGGUAAAUACACUAACAUGAUAACUUUUGGUAAUUUUUUGAUGCACUAAUUAUAUAAUUAAUGAGUGCGAGAAAAAAAAACUAUGUAAUGUACAGAGAUAAAAAUAAUUUAAAAAAUCGUAACAUAAGUUUGACUACAAAGGAAAUAUUGAUUGUUCAUAAAAGAGUUAAUUGAUAAUUUAGUUUUUUUAGAAUCUAUUAAUAGUUUCUCAAAAUUCUUUACUAAUUUAUUUUUUAAAUCAAUUAGUAUGAGCUUAACCUUUAAUAAUUUAGCUAAUUAAUAACUUUGUCUUUGUAAAUAUAAUUUAUUUCUUAGUUUUCUCAAACCUUGUAAAUGAGAUUUAAAUGUAGCAAAAUACUAUUGUUUAAGUUAUAAGAAAACCACUAGUUAAUGCUUUAAAGUAAAUUCAUACAAGUAUGUAAUAGAUUAAGCCGAUAAAAAGUAGCUCUUGCUGAUGAAGCCUUCAACUUCUGAGCAACACUCUGAUGUGAAGAAAGUUGCAAAAUACUUUUAAUUGUAUUCUUAUCCACUUUUAUGUACCCAUUGGCACUUUCUUCAGCAGUUUUUGUAUUCUUGGUUGGCAGCUGAAGUCAAUAGGAUUUCAUAUGAUUGGGAUCGUGAAUUAUCCACCACUGAACCUGAGUACUAUAAUGCUUCAAAGUAAAUUCAUACAAGUAUAUAAUAGAUUAAGCCGAUAAAAAGUGGCUAUUGCUGAUGGAGCCGUAAACUUAUGAGCAACACUCUGAAAUGAAGAAAGUUGCCAAAUACUUUUAAUUGUAUUCUUAUCCACUUUUAUGUACCCAUUGGCACUUUCUUCAGCAGUUUUUGUAUUCUUGGUUGGCAGCUGAAGUCAUUAGGUUUUUCAUAUGAUUGGGAUCGUGAAUUCUCCACCACCGAACCUGAGUAUUAUAAAUGGACGCAAUGGAUUUUUCUUCAGCUGUUCAAGAAAGGACUCGCAUACCAGGUCUCGAACUUGUCUUAAUUUUUCUUAUAUAGGCUUUUGAUUCUUGACUCAUAGUUUGACCCUUAGGCAUUGCAACCUUUCUUUAUUGUCAUAUAUUUUCCUACUUGUGUUGAUUUUAUGUUUCAGUUUCCUGUUAAAUUGUAGAAAAAUUAAGAUAAGUUAUCUUUAAAUUCAGGCUGAAAUACCUGUUAAUUGGUGUCCUGCACUUGGCACUGUCUUGGCAAAUGAAGAAGUGGUCAAUGGUGUUAGUGAACGAGGGGGUCAUCCUGUUGUAAGAAAGGUAGUAGUGAACUUCAAAUUCUGUCCAAAGGAAGUUUUUGUCUGAUAUCUGUUCUUUUGAAUCUGAUCAGCCAAUGCGACAAUGGAUUCUCAAGAUAACUGCUUAUGCUGAUCGUCUUCUUGAAGAUUUGGAUGAUCUUGAUUGGCCUGAGAGCAUCAAAGAAAUGCAGAGAAAUUGGAUUGGCCGUUCAGAAGGUGCUGAACUAGAAUUUGGUGUAGUUGAUUCCCAGGGAUAUGAGCAAGGCCUAAAACUGUCUGUGUAUACAACUAGACCAGACACUAUAUUUGGCGCAACGUAUGAAAAGUUUUGAUUUUCUGUUGUUUAGCUUAAUGCCCAGUGACCCUUAAUUAUACCCCUGUCUUCUUUUUUUCUGUCUGCAGAUUUAUUGUUGUGGCACCUGAGCAUCCAUUGUUGUCAUCAUUAACAACUGAGGCCCAGCAUGAGAAAGUAAUUUUACUUGGUUAUUUAUUUUCUUUAUUUGUCGUGAGUUCUAGGAGUUAAACAAGAAAAACGUUACCAAUUACAAAUGCAGGUAGAGCACUACAGGGAGCUUGCUUCAAAAAAAAGUGAUCUUGAGAGAACUGAUCUUCAAAAGGCAAAGACAGGAGUUUUUAGUGGUUCAUAUGCUAUGAAUCCAGCUACUAGGGAAACCAUUCCAAUAUGGAUAGCAGACUAUGUCUUAGGAAGGUUUAUCUGGAUUUAAUUUUCGUAUAUUUCAUACAGUUUCUGGUUAAUCUUAAAAUUUUUUAUUUGACAGAAUCCUGUAUGUUCUUUCCAUGUUUGGACCAAAUAAUCAUGGUUCCAACUUCCAAGUAAUUCCUAUAUAAGAAAAUCUUUGUGCUAUGUAGGUGACAAAAAGUUACUAGUAGGUUUUUGAUCUGGUGGAAGAUGGCGAUGCUAAAAGUUGACUAGUGAAAUAUAAUAAAACAUCACCUAGACAUCAUAUGGUGCUGAAGCUUAUCUAAGUUGAAGAGGUGCUUUGGCCUAAUAUGGACUUUCAGAUUUGUGAGGAUUUUAUAAAUUAAAGCAUGUAAAAAAGAUGAGUUUGGUCAAUGAUUUUAGAAUCUGAGGUUGCCCUUUCGGGACUUGAAUUCCAUCAUAUUCAAGACAUGGAAAUAGUCUCUUUGCAUACGAAGGAGACCCUCCGCAAACCCAAAUGAGCAGUAGCUUCAUGCACUAGCUGACUGUCGUUUUCUUUUUGUGUCAUAAUAGCUUCAUUAAGCUUAAAAUUCAAUUGAUACUUGGUUCCAUUGACUCGUAAUGUUGUGCCAAUUUUUCACAUAUAUUAUUUUAGACAAAACUAAAAGUUCUUUUUCUGUUCAGCUUCUAACAUAGUAUCAAGAUUUAUUGUGUGUUCAUCAAUCUUUAUCUCUAAUAUCCCAUGUCUUGAAACUUCCAACAGCUCAUUUUAUCAACUCAAUCAAGACAAAUCACUAGAAACCAUAUAGUACACAGUGUUAAUCUUGUUAUUUGUUAGUCAGGAUUUUGUUGCUCUGUCAAUUAAAAGAUCCAUGAGAAUUAAAUCAAAACGACUAAUUAUCUGUUUUACUUCUCUGAAUGAGGAAAUAAGAAAAGGAUUUUUUGUUUUCUUACUUAUUUUUUGGAAGGAAGUUGAACUAUAUCCACCUAUCAUGUUCAUCAAGGAUUGUUGCGUCAUGGCACAAUUAUGUUUAACACCUUUUUGGUAUGUUGUGAUUUUAUGCCAUAUAGGUUAGUGUGCUUGUGCCAGUUGUCAAGGGACAAAUCUGGGAUAGAUGCUGUGACACAUGGCAUCGUCUCUUUAGCAUUACGUUUUAACCCAUUGCCACGUGUUCAUCAGUGCAACACUACUUGAUUCUCGUAUCUGUUUAAAUUCUUAUUUUUAAUUUUUUCUGUUUAAGCUUAAAUGCUCUAGCAAUCAAACACAGUUUUCUCUAGGCUUGUGAGAGUUCUACUGAUAUACGUUUGCAUUUUGAAGUCACAUUAUUUUUGUUAUUAAUGAGUUGUUAACAUCAUUGUUUGAUGGUCAUUGUGAUUAUCAGUAACAUUCCUUUUGUUGUUAAUUAGUUAUCAACAUCAUUUAUUAAUGGUCACUGUGAUUAUCGGUAACAUUCCUUUUCCAUACUUAAUAUGCAGCUAUGGUACUGGAGCAAUCAUGGCUGUGCCUGCACAUGAUUCUCGUGACUAUGAGUUUGCCUUAAAAUAUGAUAUUCCAAUAAUUAGGGUUGUAAGUCAUACUGAUAGAAGUGAUGAUGACAGUGAACCAUAUGUAGAUGAUGGUAUCAUGAUCAACUCAUCAAAUUCGUUAUCUGGUUUGAAUAUUAAUGGCUUGUCAUGCAAAGAUGCUGCUUCAAAAGUAAUAGCUUGGCUUGAGAGUACUGGUCAUGGAAUAAAAAAGGUCUCCCUUUGCUCUGUUGGUACUUUGUCUUCAGUUUGGCAAUGCCACUGUGUAUUAUUUUGCCCUAUCUUGGACUGAGCAUGUUGUUUCGUUAGGUCAACUACAAGCUGAGGGAUUGGCUUUUUGCUAGGCAACGCUAUUGGGGAGAACCUUUUCCUGUGGUUUAUCUGGAUGAUAGCGGUGAAGUAGUUCCUUUACAGGAAAAUGAGCUUCCGUUAGUACUUCCAGACUUGGAUGACUUUAACCCUACUGGAACAGGGGAGCCUCCAUUAGCAAAAGCAACAUCGUGGGUAUGUUACUUUAAACAAUAUAACAAACAUAAGUAUCCAUCUGGAUAAAAUAGCAACUUGUUUUCUUGGUUAAUUUUGCCUUGUCCUUGUAGAUAGAUGUUAGUGGCUCUGAUCUUUUGAUUAGUCUGCAAAGUCUCUUUUAAUCAUGGAUUGGUGUAUAGAUUUGUUGAUAUGAGCCUGUAUGUAUUGCUUCAGUGAAACAUCAAAAUGUAGACUGCUUUUCAUUUUGUUAUACUUAUUAGCUAUUGAUCUUUCAUGUUCUAUGGUUAGGCUAGAUAUGCCCUUUUCUCCAUCAUUUAGUCUCGACUAUAAAGAUCAUCAUAUGCCUAGUAUUGAGUUUCAAUGCUUUCUUUUUUUAUCAAGCCAACACAUAUCUUCAAAAAUUUCAGCUCCUGCUUUUCUAUCAUGCAGUGUAACAUUUCUUUUGCAAAUAUUGCUUCUCAACCAAAUGCUCAACUGUCCCUUGAUAUACUAGCAUUUAAUUGAAGAAAAUAUGGCACAAAUGGAACUUAGCUAAAAAUCAGAGUUAUUGUAUCAUAAUUCCCUAUAGUUUGGUUGUGUUAUUAUUUGGUUUUGUCUGGGAUGAGUUGGUCCAGUGAUAUUGUCCACUGCAAAUGACACUAUACUGACUGAAAAUCUCAGUUGGCUACCUCAUUGUGGUUGUUUGAUUAGAUAUUGCUUCUAGUCAUAUAACAAAUCUUGUUUGAAUAUAGGUUAAGACAGUGGAUCCUGUAUCUGGAAGACAUGCAAGACGAGAAACAAAUACAAUGCCGCAAUGGGCUGGUUCCUGCUGGUAAUAGACUCAUUGCAGCAUUUAUAAUAUGUUUUGUAUGUACUUUCUUUUUCUU
rnacentral:lncRNA from 1 species